rnacentral:rRNA from 1 species
CCCUUAGAUGUCCCGGGCCGCACGCGCGUUACACUGAUGCAUUCAACGAGCAUAUAACCUUGGCCGAGAGGCCUGGGUAAUCUUGUUAACAUGCAUCGUGAUAGGGAUAGAUUAUUGCAAUUAUUAAUCUUGAACGAGGAAUUCCUAGUAAUCGCAGUUCAUCAAACUGCAAUGAUUACGUCCCUGCCCUUUGUACACACCGCCCGUCGCACCUACCGAUUGAAUGGUCCGGUGAGGACUCGGGAUUGUGGUUUAGCUCCUUCAUUGGGGCCUGACUGCGAGAACUUGUCCGAACCUUAUCAUUUAGAGGAAGGUGAAGUCGUAACA